CCUACGGGUGGCAGCAGUGGGGAAUAUUGGACAAUGGGGGCAACCCUGAUCCAGCCAUGCCGCGUGUGUGAAGAAGGCCCUCGGGUUGUAAAGCACUUUCAGUGAGGAAGAACGCCUGGUGGUUAAUACCCAUCAGGAAAGACAUCACUCACAGAAGAAGCACCGGCUAACUCCGUGCCAGCAGCCGCGGUAAUACGGAGGGUGCGAGCGUUAAUCGGAAUUACUGGGCGUAAAGCGCGCGUAGGUGGCUUGAUAAGCCGGUUGUGAAAGCCCCGGGCUCAACCUGGGAACGGCAUCCGGAACUGUCAAGCUAGAGUGCAGGAGAGGAAGGUAGAAUUCCCGGUGUAGCGGGGAAAUGCGUAGAGAUCGGGAGGAAUACCAGUGGCGAAGGCGGCCUUCUGGACUGACACUGACACUGAGGUGCGAAAGCGUGGGUAGCAAACAGGAUUAGAUACCCGAGUAGUC
rnacentral:rRNA from 1 species